GGGUGUGAUCAUACCAGCACUAAUGCACCGGAUCCCAUCAGAACUCCGUAGUUAAGCGUGCUUGGGUGAGAGUAGUACUAGGAUGGGUGACCUCUUGGGAAGUCCUCGUGUUGCUCCCCAC
rnacentral:rRNA from 1 species